GACAGAGGUGCCGAGCGUUAGGCGGAAUCACUGGGCUUAAAGCGUGUGUAGGCGGAUCCGUAAGUACCUUGUGAAAUCCCACGGCUCAACCGUGGAACUGCUUGGUAUACUGCGGGUCUUGAGCCACCUAGGGGCGAGCGGAACAAGUGGUGGAGCGGUGAAAUGCGUAGAUAUCACUUGGAACGCCAAUGGUGAAAACAGCUCGCUGGGGGUGUGCUGACGCUGAGACACGAAAAGCCAGGGGAGCAAACGGG
rnacentral:rRNA from 1 species